rnacentral:tRNA from 1 species
GCCGUCCUUGGGCAGGACCGUCAGCUCGACCGGCUUGCCCGCGGUGCCCACCAGCAGCGGGGCGGGCCCGCGGUCCGGGUCGACGGGACGGCC